ACCUAUCCUGGUUAGAAAAAUCCUGCGCUCUUGUUAGUUUUACUUUAAUCUGAAUUUUUUUGGAACUGCACGUCAUCCAUAAAAUUUUAUUUAGUUGCUCCAAUUUAGUGUACUAACAUGCCACCUCAACUUAAUGUUUCCAGGAGGAUUUUUUACCAAGAAUGCCAACCCCAUGGAACAUAUAUUUGAAUUGUUCUUCUGGCCCAAAAAAUGUCAUGACUAAAGAAAGAAAACUGUUGAGGUUUAUCUUCUGCUUGGGAAGUUUCAGAGGCAAGAAAACUGUUGAGGUUCGAUCUUCUGCUUGGGCAGUUUCAAAGGCAGCAAAAGCAUUUUUGAGCAAAUUGGAUUAUAACAAGAAUUAUUUUGUUCUAAUCCAACACUUUUUCUUCUUAUUUUUUUUUUUUAGCCCAAUUGAACGGCUCUGAAGAACAUUAAGAGUUUCAAGCACAAGAAAUGACGGGAAAAAAAAAAUUAGAAAUUCACUUGGUUGAGUUUAUUUUUUAGUUUCUUGUUGAUAGGAUUCACUUGGAUUUGACUUGUUCAACGUAGUUAGAUUUUUGGAAAGAUCAUAAAUCAUAACGAUGAACUAUUUAUAAAUGUCAUUGAAAACUAUUUGCGGCGGUAAUAAGAUGGUCGCUAAU